CCCUACGGUCACACAAUCCUAAAACAGACAUACCGCGAUUCAGUCUAGGAGCAUAAACAGCAUGAAACCAGGUCACUCUUUGGAUGGGAGACCGCAUGGAAAUACAUGGUACUGUAGCCU
rnacentral:rRNA from 12 species